AUCUAAUAUACUUGAACAAGGUGUGGCCAAUGAUCAAAUACAUAUACCAAUACGUCCAUUAGAAGAGGUUAAUUUGCAUGAUCACGCAAUUAUGAAUGUUAGUGGUGUCAGUGAACAAAAUGAUCAUGCCAGAAAGAAACUGGAUUUUGCAGUCGAUGGGAUAAGCUUGGCAAGACCAAAUAACUCAAAACCCAAAGGAAGAACAAUAAAGGGGAGUGAAGAAAGGGUUAUUAAAUUGGGAGCAAAAGGUACAAAGAAAAUGACCAGGAAAUGUCAGAAGUGUGGAAUUGCUGAUGGUCACAACAGUAGGACAUGUUUGUCAAUGGAGGAAAAUAGACAAAGGUUGGCAAGCCUUGCUGGACGUAAGAGAGGACGACCUCCAGGAUCUAGGAACAAGGGUGGCAGUAAAGCUCCUGAUUGGAAUGAGACAACAACAU